UACCAAUAAAAGAUACAAUGAUUAAUGAUAUUAAUGUAAUAAAGACAUAGAAUACUGAUAACAAUAAUAAUAACCCUUUAGAAAUGUGAAAUCAUGCUACUUGAGUGUGAUUCAUAAUUGAGUUUUAUUUUAAUUUUAAAUUUUUUAUAAAAGUCACAUUCUUAUCAAUUUUCCUCAAGCCACUGCGCUUUAACGUGAGUGCUUUCAUCCAUCUAUAAAUUGACGUACAACAAAGCUAAAGAAUCAGUUGCAAUAACGUCGUACUAAACACAACAUCUAAGUACGGAUGAAAAAUCGCGGGCUUUCCUAAUUAUCAUCUCUAAAUUACAUUGACAAAUAUUAGUCAUUUUAAAAUCGUAGGUUUUGUCAAUUGUAAGUCAAGAUGUUAAUUGGUGGGGCAGUUAGCUAUGUCGCUGGGCCACCGAAACCGGCGCCAUCUUCAACUUCAGCAUCAGCUGCAGCAUUUCCAGGGCAAUCAACUAUCGACGUACUACCGAAAAU